rnacentral:rRNA from 1 species
UACGUAGGUGGCAAGCGUUGUUCGGAAUUACUGGGCGUAAAGGGCGCGUAGGCGGCCUGUUAAGUCGAACGUGAAAUCCCCGGGCUCAACCCGGGAACUGCGUCCGAUACUGGCAGGCUUGAAUCCGGGAGAGGGAUGCGGAAUUCCAGGUGUAGCGGUGAAAUGCGUAGAUAUCUGGAGGAACACCGGUGGCGAAGGCGGCAUCUGGACCGGCAUUGACGCUGAGGCGCGAAAGCAUGGGGAG